rnacentral:tRNA from 1 species
GCCGGGGUGGCGGAAUGGCAGACGCAGAGGACUUAAAAUCCUCUGGCCCAAAAGGCCGUGCGGGUUCGAGUCCCGCCCUCGGCA